rnacentral:tRNA from 1 species
GCCGAGGUGGCGGAAUCGGUAGACGCAGCGGAUUCAAAAUCCGCCGCCGAAAGGCGCGAGGGUUCGAGUCCCUCUCUCGGCACCA